rnacentral:rRNA from 1 species
GAUGAACGCUAGCUACAGGCUUAACACAUGCAAGUCGAGGGGAAACGGCAUCGAAAGCUUGCUUUUGAUGGGCGUCGACCGGCGCACGGGUGAGUAACGCGUAUCCAACCUGCCCAUCACUUGGGAAUAACCUUGCGAAAGUAAGACUAAUGCCCAAUGACAUCCCACGAAGGCAUCCGAAUGGGAUUAAAGAUUUAUCGGUGAUGGAUGGGGAUGCGUCUGAUUAGCUUGUUGGCGGGGUGACGGCCCACCAAGGCAACGAUCAGGAGGGGUUCUGAGAGGAAGGUCCCCCACAUUGGAACUGAGACACGGUCCAAACUCCUACGGGAGGCAGCAGUGAGGAAUAUUGGUCAAUGGGCGAGAGCCUGAACCAGCCAAGUAGCGUGCAGGAUGACGGCCCUAUGGGUUGUAAACUGCUUUUAUAAGGGAAUAAAGUGGGUCACGUGUGACUUUUUGCAUGUACCUUAUGAAUAAGGACCGGCUAAUUCCGUG